rnacentral:rRNA from 1 species
GACGAACGCUGGCGGCGUGCUUAACACAUGCAAGUCGAACGCUGAUGGCCCAGCUUGCUGGGUUGGAUGAGUGGCGAACGGGUGAGUAACACGUGAGUAACCUGCCCUCUUCUUUGGGAUAACGGUCGGAAACGGCUGCUAAUACCGGGUAUUCACUGUCCUUCGCAUGGGGGGUGGUGGAAAGGUUUUUUCUGGUGGGGGAUGGGCUCGCGGCCUAUCAGCUUGUUGGUGGGGUGAUGGCUUACCAAGGCUUUGACGGGUAACCGGCCUGAGAGGGUGACCGGUCACAUUGGGACUGAGAUACGGCCCAGACUCCUACGGGAGGCAGCAGUGGGGAAUAUUGCACAAUGGGCGAAAGCCUGAUGCAGCGACGCCGCGUGAGGGAUGGAGGCCUUCGGGUUGUAAACCUCUUUCGCUCAUGGUCAAGCCGCAACAGUGGUUGUGGUGAGGGUAGUGGGUAAAGAAGCACCGGCUAACUACGUGCCAGCAGCCGCGGUAAUACGUAGGGUGCGAGCGUUGUCCGGAAUUAUUGGGCGUAAAGGGCUUGUAGGCGGUUUGUCGCGUCUGCCGUGAAAUCCUCUGGUUUAACUGGGGGCGUGCGGUGGGUACGGGCAGGCUUGAGUGCGGAAGGGGAAACUGGAACUCCUGGUGUAUCGGUGGAAUGCGCACAUAUCAGGAAACAACACCGGUGGCGAAGGUGGUGCUCU